GUUUCUCCAGUGCGGGGAAGGAUGAGAAGCUUCGACCAAGGUUCGAUUCGAGCGUAGCGAGAAAGCGUUGCCGCAGGCAACGACCCGAAGGGCGAGGCGCAACGCGCCGAGUAAUCCUUCCCCCACCACCA
rnacentral:sRNA from 3 species